GUGCCAGCAGCCGCGGUAAGAUGUAUGGAGCGAGCGUUGUCCGGAAUUAUUGGGCGUAAAGGGUGCGCAGGCGGCUUUACAAGUUGGAUGUGAAAUAUUGUGGCUCAACCACAAACGUGCAUCCAAAACUGCAAAGCUUGAGUUAAGGAGAGGUAAGUGGAAUUCCUGGUGUAGCGGUGGAAUGCGUAGAUAUCAGGAGGAAUACCGGUGGCGAAGGCGACUUACUGGACUUAAACUGACGCUCAGGCACGAAAGCGUGGGGAGCAAACAGGAUUAGAUACCCGGGUAGUCC
rnacentral:rRNA from 1 species